rnacentral:rRNA from 1 species
GACGAACGCUGGCGGCGUGCUUAACACAUGCAAGUCGAACGGAAAGGCCCUGCUUUUGUGGGGUGCUCGAGUGGCGAACGGGUGAGUAACACGUGAGUAACCUGCCCUUGACUUUGGGAUAACUUCAGGAAACUGGGGCGAAUACCGGAUAGGAGCUCCUGCUGCAUGGUGGGGGUGGGAAAGUUUCGGCGGUUGGGUAUGGACUCGCGGCUUAUCAGCUUGUUGGUGGGGUAGUGGCUUACCAAGGCUUUGACGGGUAGCCGGCCUGAGAGGGUGACCGGCCACAUUGGGACUGAGAUACGGCCCAGACUCCUACGGGAGGCAGCAGUGGGGAAUAUUGCACAAUGGGCGGAAGCCUGAUGCAGCAACGCCGCGUGCGGGAUGACGGCCUUCGGGUUGUAAACCGCUUUCGCCUGUGACGAAGCGUGAGUGACGGUAAUGGGUAAAGAAGCACCGGCUAACUACGUG